rnacentral:rRNA from 1 species
CCUACGGGUGGCUGCAGUGAGGAAUAUUGGUCAAUGGUCGGGAGACUGAACCAGCCAAGCCGCGUGAGGGAGGAAGGUACAGAGUAUCGUAAACCUCUUUUGUCAGGGAACAAAGGCGGGGACGUGUCCCCGGAUGAGUGUACCUGAAGAAAAAGCAUCGGCUAACUCCGUGCCAGCAGCCGCGGUAAUACGGAGGAUGCGAGCGUUAUCCGGAUUUAUUGGGUUUAAAGGGUGCGUGGGCGGGCCUUCAAGUCAGCGGUCAAAACCCUGGGCUUAACCCCCGCCCUGCUGUUGAAACUGGCAGGCUCGAGUGGGAGAGAGGUAUGCGGAAUGCGCGGUGUAGCGGUGAAAUGCGUAGAUAUCGCGAAGAACUCCGAUGGCGAAGGCAGCAUGCCGGCUCCACACUGACGCUGAGGCACGAAAGCGUGGGUAUCGAACAGGAUUAGAUACCCUAGUAGUC